CACUACUUGGCGCUGUUGGAUACCCAAGACCCUGCCUCCCUGCUGCUGUGGGUCAUCAGCCUCCUGAAGAGAGAGGAUAAAUCAUGGUUUGAUUGAAAGUGAAAAACAACAUCCAUCCAUAGAAUGAAGGUGGAGCAACAGUGAAUCAGAGGAAGAGAGCGGCAGGUGCAACCAUCCCUUGGUUCUGCUGAUCCCACAAAGUUCCACUACUGUGAAGAACUGUGUUCACUAUUCAUCUGAAAAAGUUUGCUCAAUUAUGUUUGAAUUGAUGUGUAUAUAUAUAUAAAGAAGUGAAUAAAUAUUUCUAAAUCCCAAAACAUAACUAUUAUACAGUGUGGUUAUACAGUGGGGAGAACAAGUAUUUGAUACGCUGCCGAUUUUCCUACUUACAAAGCAUGUAGGUCUGUAAUUAUCAUAGGUAUAAAACAACUGUGAGAGACAGAAUCUAAAACAAAAAUCCUGAAAAAUCACAUGAUUUUUAAGUAAUUCAUUUGCAUUUUAUUGCAUGACAUAAGUAUUUGAUACAUCAGAAAAGCAGAACUUAAUAUUUGGUACAGAAACCUGUUCGCAAUUAGAGAUCAUACGUUUUCUGUAAUUCUUGACCAGGUUUGCACACACUGCAGCAGGGAUUUUGGCCCACUCCUCCAUACAGACCUUCUCCAGAUCCUUCAGGUUUCAGGCUGUCGCUGGGCAAUACGGACUUUCAGCUCCCUCUAAAGAUGUUCUAUUGGGUUCAGGUCUGGAGACUGGCUAGGCCACUCCAGGACCUUGAGAUGCUUCUUGCGGAGCCACUCUUUACUUGCCCUGGCUGGAUCAUCCUCUGGAUCAUCCAGAUGGUCAUUGGCAAACUUCAGAUGGGCCUGGACAUGUGCUGGCUUGAGCAGGGGGACCUUGUGUGCGCUGCAGGAUUUUAAUCCAUGAAGGCGUAGUGUGUUACUAAUGGUUUUCUUUAAGACUGUGGUCCCAGCUCUCUUCAGGUCAUUAAUCAGGUCCUGCCGUGUAGUUCUGGGCUGAUCCCUCACCUUCCUCAUGAUCAUUGAUGCACCACGAGGUAAGAUCUUGCAUGGAGCCCCAGACCGAGGGUGAUUGACCGUCAUCUUGAACUUCUUCCAUUUUCUAAUAAUUGCACCAACAGUUGUUGCUUUCUCACCAAGCUGCUUGCCUAAUGGCCUGUAGCCCAGCCUUGUGCAGGUCUACAACGUUAUCCCUGAUGUCCUUACACAGCUGUCUGGUCUUAGCCAUUGUGUAGAGGAUGGCGUCUGUUUGAUCGAGUGUGUGGACAGGUGUCUUUUAUACAGGUAACGAGUUCAAACAGGUGCAGUUAAUACAGGUAAUGAGUGGAGAACAUGAGGGAAUCUUAAAGAAAAACUAACAGGUCUGUGAGAGCCGGAAUUCUUACUGGUUGGUAGGUGAUCAAAUACUUAUGUCAUGCAAUAAAAUCCAAAUGAAUUACUUAAAAAUCAUACAAUGUGAUUUUCUGGAUUUUUGUUUUAGAUUCCAUCUCUCACAGUUGAAGUGUACUUAUGAUAAAAAUUACAUACCUCUACAUGCUUUGUAAGUGGGAAAACCUGCAAAAUCGGCAGUGUAUCAAAUACUUGUUCUCCCCACUGUAGGUAACCACACCGUGACUACAACUAAGUAACUAAGUCUGACCACACUACGCUGUUACUUUGGUGAGUAAAAACUCAUCCUACCUACCCUUUAAUGUUCUAAUAAAACAUAGUCG